rnacentral:rRNA from 1 species
UACAGAGGGUGCGAGCGUUAAUCGGAAUUACUGGGCGUAAAGCGUGCGUAGACGGUUAUUUAAGUCGGAUGUGAAAGCCCCGGGCUCAACCUGGGAAUUGCAUUCAAGACUGAAUAGCUAGGGUGCGGUAGAGGGAAGCGGAAUUUCCGGUGUAGCGGUGAAAUGCGUAGAUAUCGGAAGGAACAUCAGUGGCGAAAGCGGCUUCCUGGACCAGCACCGACGUUCAGGCACGAAAGCGUGGGGAGCAAACAGG